rnacentral:rRNA from 1 species
UACAGAGGUCCCAAGCGUUGUUCGGAUUCAUUGGGCGUAAAGGGUGCGUAGGCGGCGCGGUAAGUCGGGUGUGAAAUCUCGGGCUUAACUCCGAAACUGCAUUCGAUACUGCCGUGCUUGAGGACUGGAGAGGAGACUGGAAUUUACGGUGUAGCGGUGAAAUGCGUAGAUAUCGUAAGGAAGACCAGUGGCGAAGGCGGGUCUCUGGACAGUUCCUGACGUGAGGCGCGACAGCGUGGGGAGCAAACAGG